rnacentral:rRNA from 1 species
UACCCUUGACAUACCGAUCGCGGUUUCCAGAGAUGGAUUCCUUCAGUUAGGCUGGAUCGGAUAC